GGGGCGCGGCGAGCUCCGGAGAAACCCAGGUUGGGCGUGAGCGCUGGGCAAAUCAGCAAAGCGCUGGGCGGGUCCCUUGCCCCGCUAGGGAGACUGAGAGGACCGCGAAGAGGUGGGGUCGUAGCGCGGAGGGACCCCUGCUCCAGGAGCUGCCAACUUUAUCGUGCAUCGCAGUCGCCUGAAAGGCUUGUUAGAACACACGCUGUUGGGCCCACCCUAGCGUUUCUGCUUCAGUAGGUCUGGGGCGAGGCGUGAGAACGAGCAUUUCUAAGUUCCCAGGUGGUAGCUGCAAGAACUCUUAGUAUGUUGACCUCACCUCUGCCUUCCACAUACCACUACCAGUGAGGAAUUAGGAAUGCAUGAGAAGAGUGUCCAAGAAGAGUGUCCUCAUUCAUGCAAGGCUUAAGAGAGAAUGCAGGUCAACAUCACCAUGUCAAUCAGAGAAUACUUCUGUUGGGUUGAAUGACUCUCUGCCCCCAGCGUAGUUUGGAACCAGCAGCAGCAGCAGCUCCCCAGACCUACUGAAUCAGAAUCUACAUUUUGAUAAGAGCCCAGGGUGACUCCAUGUACGUGAAAAAGUUUGAGAAGUCCUUAGACCUACAGUUCACAGCUUCUCCUUCUUUCUUAUUCAACUGAAUUGCAGUGGGACCUGAGUAUGGUUAAAAUAAAUGAAUAAAAACACAAA
rnacentral:lncRNA from 1 species